rnacentral:rRNA from 1 species
ACGAAGGGAGCUAGCGUUGUUCGGAAUUACUGGGCGUAAAGGGCGCGUAGGCGGUAAGACAAGUCAGGUGUGAAAGCCCUGGGCUCAACCCAGGAAUUGCGCUUGAUACUGUUUUUCUUGAAUUCGGGAGAGGUUGGUGGAAUUCCCAGUGUAGAGGUGAAAUUCGUAGAGAUUGGGAAGAACACCCGUGGCGAAGGCGGCCAACUGGACCGACAUUGACGCUGAGGCGCGAAAGCGUGGGGAGCAAACAG